ensembl:lncRNA novel transcript
AGGAUAGUCCUGGAAAUGAUCUUGAUGCUAUCUGUUCCUCGUUACAGCAGACCUGCUCAACUUCAGCAGCUAGAAGGAGGAUUGUCUUUCACCAGCUGCAGGAGCCUGUUCCCACUACAAGCCUGGUGGAGUCUUCGGAGCAGAUGUGACUGUCCUACUUGUAUAGAGAAGAGAAACUGAGGCUCAGAAGAGAUGCCUGGCUGAGUUUAAUAGGACUGCAACAACAAUUUUGCCUUUCUACUUUCUGCUCACCGAAGAAGACAGGAAAACUUGUCAGAUGGGGAAGGAUGUGUCAAGAGCAUGCACACAGAUUUACUCUUCAGCUAGAAGCUCCAAUUCCUAGAUGAUCUGAAUCCAACUCAGAGUGCUUGCACCUGUUUCCUGCCACACAGCUAGAGCUGUCCAGUGAGAGAGACAUGAUGGCCCAGCUUGAAAAAGAAAUUGAGGAUAGCAAGUGUAACAUACCAAGCAUUCCACGAGCAGUGUCCCUCUAGGUUCUCUGAUUGGCUGAAGCUACUCUAAGCCAAGAGAUCAAAGAAGCUGAUAAUGUAGAAUGUAAGUUUGUCUCCUGGGCCACAAUGGAAAGCAGAGACUGUAGCUGGAGGAGUGAAUAGAGGAUAUGCAGCUCUGGUAAUUCUCAGUACAAUUCCCAGUGGUCCACUCUGCAGAAUGAACCAAGUUCCAUUUUGCCCAACUUCUGGCAGUCCACAUUUGGACUGUGAGCUCACCUACAGAUAAAUCGUACGUGGAUUGAUGCAGUAACUGGAUUUGUAGCUGCUAAAUCUUAUUUAAGUGAGGACCUGUCCAGUACAUGUGAAGACCACCCAUCCACUGAAAGUGAUAAGUGAAGCUGAAUCAAUACUAGACUGAAUCAAUACUGAGCUGAAUCAAUACUUUCCCAAUUUUGAGGAAAUCUUGGAAAAUCUCUGAGAAAUGUGGUAGUAAUUAUUUUGAAGAAUUGGAAAACUUUAUAGCUGAUUAUGCUAUGUGUGGAAGAUACAACAGGAUUAUAAGAGAGAGAAGACAAUAUCCUUGCUGUGUCCAGAAGGCUUUAGCCGGGGUGUCCUACUGAGAGAUGACAAACUUAAGGUUUUUCUCUUCCCAGACAUUACUGGACAACUAGCUAUGUAAUUAGGUCUUAUGCCGAAAAGACUGAAAGGAAAACAUCUCAGAUCUAGGAAUGUGAUCAAGAAAGAAGGCUGGUUAAAGAAUAACAUGGGGAAAAUGAAUGCAGUGAAAUGGUUCACGCACAAGUUCUAGGAAUUCAGAGUGCAACAGCAGAAAUGCGAUUUUUGUUAGAUAUUUCAGAAAGUGAUGUGAGUCCCUGAGGUCAUACUGCAGCGUUCAGGUUCUGUUUGGCCUCCUGCACGAAGCUUUCCUUGAUUGGAAAAGCUGCAUACUCUGAAGCACAUCGCAUGUGUCCUGUCUGUAGUUCAUUUCAUUUCCCCAGAUUUGUUAUCAUCCACCAUCACUCAUACAAGCCUACCUUCUUCAUGCCAACCUUUGUAAUCUUUCUACCUUGCUAACCUGGUCAUGUCAAGGACCAGCUAAUAAAUAGCAAAGUUGUACCUUGAGCCAAGGUAUCUUGACUCUUAGUCCAGUGCUCUUUAUAUACCUCUGAAGUCUUAUUUGAGCUUCAAAAUUAUGAGUCUGUGCUCUCAAGAUUUUUUUGAAAAUGUACUUAAUGUUGCCCCUAAGCUUUUAUGAGAAAUAAUAAAGUUCUUUCCAGAUUGAAUAUCUAAUAA